AGAGUUUGAUCAUGGCUCAGAUUGAACGCUGGCGGCAGGCUUAACACAUGCAAGUCGAGCGGGGAAAGGUAGCUUGCUACCUGACCUAGCGGCGGACGGGUGAGUAAUGCUUAGGAAUCUGCCUAUUAGUGGGGGACAACAUCUCGAAAGGGAUGCUAAUACCGCAUACGUCCUACGGGAGAAAGCAGGGGACCUUCGGGCCUUGCGCUAAUAGAUGAGCCUAAGUCGGAUUAGCUAGUUGGUGGGGUAAAGGCCUACCAAGGCGACGAUCUGUAGCGGGUCUGAGAGGAUGAUCCGCCACACUGGGACUGAGACACGGCCCAGACUCCUACGGGAGGCAGCAGUGGGGAAUAUUGGACAAUGGGGGGAACCCUGAUCCAGCCAUGCCGCGUGUGUGAAGAAGGCCUUUUGGUUGUAAAGCACUUUAAGCGAGGAGGAGGCUACCGAGAUUAAUACUCUUGGAUAGUGGACGUUACUCGCAGAAUAAGCACCGGCUAACUCUGUGCCAGCAGCCGCGGUAAUACAGAGGGUGCAAGCGUUAAUCGGAUUUACUGGGCGUAAAGCGCGCGUAGGUGGCCAAUUAAGUCAAAUGUGAAAUCCCCGAGCUUAACUUGGGAAUUGCAUUCGAUACUGGUUGGCUAGAGUAUGGGAGAGGAUGGUAGAAUUCCAGGUGUAGCGGUGAAAUGCGUAGAGAUCUGGAGGAAUACCGAUGGCGAAGGCAGCCAUCUGGCCUAAUACUGACACUGAGGUGCAAAAGCAUGGGGAGCAAACAGGAUUAGAUACCCCGGUAGUCC
rnacentral:rRNA from 1 species